UUUCUUAUAAAAAUAAAAAAUUAUUUCUAUAAUUUUUUAAAACUUUAAAUGCAUGUAAAAUAUUAAAUAUAAACUGUAAAGGUUUUUUUCAAGACAUUAAAAGUAAUUUUUUGUACCUUUUGCAUAAGGGAUUUUUUAAGAAAUUUAAAAUUUUAAAUUUCUAGAAAUAAGUUGAUCUAAAAAGUUUAAUUAAUUUAUAUUUCAUUAUAAAAAUCUAAAUAUUUUUUAGAGGUGAAAUGCCUCUCAAAACUUAAGAUAUCUAGUUUUUUAAAAUAGUUUUAGACUUACCUAUAAUAAUUUUUUAUUAAUAAAAUAAUAUAGGGUAAAAAUUUUGGGAUAAGCUAAAAUGUUUUUAUUAAAAAUAUUUAAAAAAUAAUUUAAAGAUUAAAAUUAUCUUUACUAUUAUUAUAAAUAAAUCCAUGAAAUUUUAUUCAAAUUCAUUAUUUUUAAUUUAAAAAUAGAAGUAAACAUUUCCUUUUAAUAAAUAUGAAAAUAUUAGUAAAAGUAAUAUAAGGUGAAUUUAAAUAAAAAACAUAUUGAUUUUAAAAAUAAAAAUAAAUUUGAAUAAUUCGAGCAAAAAUUUUUUCUGACUGUUUAAUAAAAACAUUUCAUUUAGGAAAUAAUUAAAUGUAAAUCCUGCUCAAUGAAUUUUAUUUAAAUUGCUGUAGUAUUUUGACUAUACAAAGGUAUUGUAAUAAGAUUUUAAUUGAAUGCUAAGAGAAUGGAAUUUCAGAAAUUGACUUUUUUAAAUUUAAAAAUUGAAGUUAUUUUAAUUUGUGAAGAAACAAUUAUUAAAAUUAAGGACAAGAAGACCCUAAGAAUUUAAGAAUUUUUUUUUUAAAUUGUCUUAAAAAAUAUUUCUUGGUUGGGGCAACUAAAAAAUAUUUAAAACUUUUUUAAAAUAAAAUGACCCAUUAUUAAUGAUUUUAUGAAAAAAAUACUCUAGGGAUAACAGCGUAAUAAUUUUUAAUAGACCAUAUAGACAAAAUAGUUUGCGACCUCGAUGUUGGAUUAGGAUACUUUUUUAAUGAAGAUGUUAAAAAAAGAAGUUUGUUCAACUUUUAAUUUCCUACAUGAUCUGAGUUUAGACCGAUGAGAAUCAGGUUGGUUUCUAUCCUAAUUUUAUUAAAAAUUUAGUUAGUACGAAAGGAAUUCUAAAUUUUAAUUUUUUAAAAUAAACAAUUUUAUUUGCAUCAAUUUUUGGAAU
rnacentral:rRNA from 1 species